AGCUGGGUCCUGUGCAAUAGAUGCCCUCAAACCCCGUCAGGUCCGGAAGGAAGCAGCGGUAGAGGACCUCUCUAUGUGCCGCAGGGGCGCCUAGCUAUC
rnacentral:SRP_RNA from 1 species